GUGAGGAAUAUUGGUCAAUGGGCGCAAGCCUGAACCAGCCAUCCCGCGUGCAGGAAGACGGCCCUAUGGGUUGUAAACUGCUUUUCCGGGGGGAGAAUUUUUCCGUCGUGACGGGAAUUGACGGUACCCCGGGAAUAAGCAUCGGCUAACUCCGUGCCAGCAGCCGCGGUAAUACGGAGGAUGCGAGCGUUAUCCGGAUUUAUUGGGUUUAAAGGGUGCGUAGGCGGAAUGAUAAGUCAGUGGUGAAAACCUGCAGCUUAACUGUAGACUUGCCGUUGAUACUGUCAGUCUUGAGUGUGGUCAAGGUAGGCGGAAUGUGUAAUGUAGCGGUGAAAUGCUUAGAUAUUACACAGAACACCGAUUGCGAAGGCAGCUUACUGGGCCAUUACUGACGCUGAUGCACGAAAGCGUGGGGAUCGAACAGGAUUAGAAACCCUUGUAGUCC
rnacentral:rRNA from 1 species